rnacentral:misc_RNA from 1 species
AAAGAUCGCAGCCUUCGGCAGCUCCUACAGGAUCGGGUUUCCACGCGGUCAAUGUAGGAGCUGCCGAAGGCUGCGAUCUUU